GAUGAAGAACGUAGUAAAAUGCGAUAAGUAAUGUGAAUUGCAGAAUUCAGUGAAUCAUCGAAUCUUUGAACGCACAUUGCGCCCGCCAGUAUUCUGGCGGGCAUGCCUGUUCGAGCGUCAUUUCAACCCUCAAGCCCUCGGGUUUGGUGUUGGGGAUCGGCGAGCCUUUCUGGCAAGCCGGCCCCGAGAUCUAGUGGCGGUCUCGCUGCAGCCUCCAUUGCGUAGUAGUAAAACCCUCGCAACUGGAACGCGGCGCGGCCAAGCCGUUAAACCCCCAACUUCUGAAUGUUGACCUCGGAUCAGGUAGGAAUACCCGCUGAACUUAAGCAUAUCAAUAAGCGGAGGA
rnacentral:misc_RNA from 1 species